UCCCUCGCGGGUGCACCGCCGA
rnacentral:snRNA from 1 species